GUAGGUGAACCUGCGGAAGGAUCAUUAACACGUAUCCAACGUUAAACAACCCUGUGAACCUUGAACGUGCUCUCGUACACGCUCUAGCAGCAAUCCCUGGUAAAUCAUUGUUGACCAGCUAUUGAGUCUGGGACUUCUGCUAGAAAUACGAGCGCCAGAGUAAGUGCGGCCUGGCAUCCUAGCGCAAGGACGAUCGCUGUAGGCCCACACGGCCGGCGACCGGGCCUCUGUGCUUCGGCACCUAAUGACACCAGUUUUCUGACCCGGUGCGCUGUAACAACCGCACCACAAACUCGAACAACUGUUAACAAUGGAUAUCUUGGUUCUU
rnacentral:misc_RNA from 1 species